rnacentral:rRNA from 1 species
ACCCAGUCUCGUCCGAUCAACGAAGUUAAGCAACAUUGGGUCAAGUUAGUACUUGGAUGGGUGACCGCCUGGGAAUACUUGAUGCUGUAGGUAA